AUUUAAAGUUCUCUGGAGGCUCACAGUUUUUGUCGAUUCUAUCCUAUGCAUUUAGAACCACGUCUAAUGUCUCUUUAUUUGUGUUAUUGUAUAAACACAUUGUCACUUUUU